rnacentral:rRNA from 1 species
ACACGACUACAUUAGAUACCCGUGUAGUCCUAGCCGUAAACGAUACUCGCUAGGUGUCGGCCACGGUGCGACCGUUGUCGGUGCCGUAGGGAAGCCGUGAAGCGAGCCACCUGGGAAGUACGGCCGCAAGGCUGAAACUUAAAGGAAUUGGCGGGGGAGCACAACAACGGGUGGAGCUCGCGGUUUAAUUGGAUUCAACGCCGGAAAUCUUACCGGGACCGACAGCAACAUGAAGGCCAAGCUGAAGACUUUGCCGGAUUAGCUG